rnacentral:lncRNA from 1 species
GAGUCCGCCAGCGGAUGGGGAUGUAGAACGGGCAGCCUCUAAUGGCGCCUGCUGGUAAGGCGGGGUGCCUGUGGCCAUACAGGAAAGGGGAGCAGCUCCCACCUCGAGGCUCUGUCUGCCUCAGAGAGCCAGCUGUUAAACACUAGCCAACACCCCACUGAUGCUGUUCCUUCUACCUGAAACACCUCGCAUUGCCGGUGAGCUCUAAAGACAAGAGGACCUGGGUCUGCAUUUCCCAAAGGAUGAGGGCAAAAGAGUUUAAGAUGGUGGAGCCUUAUUAUGCAAAGGAACCCAAUCCCAGCGUCCACUGGAAGAAGACUGCCCAGGACUUCUACCUUCCCGGGAACAUCUGCCCAGAGUCCACCAGCUGGAAGAAGACUGCCCAGGACUUCUACCUUCCUGGGAACAUCUGCAUCAGACUCUGUGGGGGAGGGAAAUAAACCUUCAUUGUGUUCAGCCAGCGAGAUAUUUGUCAUUGUUACAGUAGUGAGCCAAUCCUGAUAAAUACAUGGUAUUUGAUAGACCCAUUUCACAGAAUGGGAAAACAGAGGCUCAGUAGAUGGAGCUCACACUACUCAUAAGUAGUACAACAGGGAUUUGAACCAAGCUCUGUCUGACACUAGAUAUCCCUUUCAUUGGUUCUUUUUCUGUUUUUGUUUUUGUUUUUAAGAGAUGAGGUCUCGGCCGGGCGUGUAAUCCCAGCACUUUGGGAGGCCAAAGGGGAUGGACCACUUGAGGUCAGGAGUUUGAGACCACCCUGGCC